rnacentral:lncRNA from 1 species
CCCUCUUGAGUCCGUGGGGACUCCGCUUCCUUCUUGCAUUUCGGGGAUUUUGCUUCUCUUUAUCGAGUCCAAAUAGCCGGUGAACAGGUUACAGGUAGUACAAGGGCUGGAAACUAAAUUUUCAGAUCCUAAAAAGCCCAAAAGAGAGCAGUAUACAUGAUGUAUACACUCGUAUAUAUCAUGUAUACACAGAAAGAGCAG